rnacentral:lncRNA from 1 species
UAGCUCUCCAACCUCACCUACAUGAUUCUCUCAAAUACAUAGGUGUGCUAAUGCAAAAAGGAAAGCUACUAUACUACCACGGUCUCACUGAUCGGGCGCGAUGCCCUUGCCGCGGUCCUCUCUCGGUAACCCUGUACCUACCACUGGAAAUAGAGUGGGGUGAGAACUAUCUUCCAUAGUUCCCAGUGGGCUCGGCCGCCGACUCUGCCGAUCUCCCCACUAGGUCCAAGUGGGCACAAGUAACAACAAAUAGAUAGAUAGAUAGAUAUGUAUCUGAAACUGUAAAUGCGAUAGUAGGAAAAACUAUGCUACUAUGCCCAUAAUCAUGAAUAUGAAUGCAUGCAUCAUAUAAUAAAGGUUCGCUACCAUGCUAACAAAUUCGAUCCAUGUUCGAAUAGCUAUGUUCAAUGACAUUUA